rnacentral:rRNA from 1 species
CCCUUAGACGUUCUGGGCCGCACGCGCGCUGCACUGACCAGUGCAACAAGCAUCCGUCCUUGGCCGACAGGCCCGGGCAAUCUUUGAACGCUGGUCGUGGUGGGGAUAGACUUUUGCAAUUUUUGGUCUUCAACGAGGAAUUCCUAGUAAACGCAAGUCAUCAACUUGCAUUGAUUACGUCCCUGCCCUUUGUACACACCGCCCGUCGCACCUACCGAUUGAAUGGUCCGGUGAAGCCUCCGGAUUGGCGCGCACCUCGGUGCCGCCGAGAAGUUGGCUAAACCUUACCAUUUAGAGGAAGGUGAAGUCGUAACA